rnacentral:rRNA from 1 species
AUACGGAGGAUGCAAGCGUUAUCCGGAUUUAUUGGGUUUAAAGGGUGCGUAGGCGGAUGAUUAAGCGUGAGGUGAAAUGCCACUGCUCAACAGUGGAACUGCCUCGCGAACUGGUUGUCUUGAAUGCUCCUGCCGUGGGAGGAAUGUGUGGUGUAGCGGUGCAAUGCAUAGAGAUCACACAGAACACCGAUUGCGAAGGCAUCUCACGAAGGGGUGAUUGACGCUGAGGCACGAAAGCGUGGGGAUCAAACAGGAUUAGAUACCCUGGUAGUCCACGCAGUAAACGAUGAUAACUAACCGCUGGGUCGUAGUGAUUCAGUGGCCAAGCGAAAGCGAUAAGUUAUCCACCUGGGGAGUACGACCGCAAGGUUGAAACUCAAAUGAAUUGGCGGGG